CCUACGGUGGGCAGCAGUGGGGAAUAUUGCACAAUGGGGGAAACCCUGAUGCAGCGACGCCGCGUUAGUGAAGAAGUAUUUCGGUAUGUAAAGCUCUGUCAGCAGGGAAGAAAAUGACGGAACCUGACCAAGAAGCCCCGGCUAACUACGUGCCAGCAGCCUCGGUAAUAAGUAGGGGGCAAGCGUUAUCCGGAUUUACUGGGUGUAAAGGGAGCGUAGACGGCAGGGCAAGUCUGGAGGGAAAGGCGGGGGCACAACCCCCGGACUGCUCUGGAAACUGCCAGGCUGGAGUGCAGGAGAGGUAAGUGGAAUUCCUAGUGUAGCGGUGAAAUGCGUAGAUAUUAGGAGGAACACCAGUGGCGAAGGCGGCUUACUGGACUGUAACUGACGUUGAGGCUCGAAAGCGUGGGGAGCAAACAGGAUUAGAUACCCCUGUAGUC
rnacentral:rRNA from 1 species